CACCAGGUGGCUCAGUGGUAGAGCGAGGUCACCAUAUGCAGAGGCUACAGUCCUCCAUGCAGCGGUCCCAGGUUCAAUUCCCUGCCCCGGGCCAUUUA